GAGGGUAUAGCUCGGUGGUAGAGCAUGUCCUUAGUGUGCACGAGGUCUUGGGUUCUAUCCCCGGUACCUCCG
rnacentral:tRNA from 1 species